GACGAACGCUGGCGGCGCGCUUAACACAUGCAAGUCGAACGGAAAGGCCUGCUUUCCCUUGUGGAUUGCGGGUACUCGAGUGGCGAACGGGUGAGUAACACGUGAGUGAUCUGCCCCCAACUUGGGUAUAAGCCUGGGAAACUGGGUCUAAUUCCCGAUAGGACUGCAGGGUGGUGCCUGUGGUGGAAAACGAUUUUCUAGUGGUCGGGGAUGAGCUCGCGGCCUAUCAGCUUGUUGGUGGGGUAAUGGCCUACCAAGGCGGCGACGGGUAGCCGGCCUGAGAGGGUGGACGGCCACAUUGGGACUGAGAUACGGCCCAGACGCCUACGGGAGGCAGCAGUGGGGAAUAUUGCACAAGGGGCGGAAGCCUGAUGCAGCGACGCCGCGUGGGGGAUGACGGCCUUCGGGUUGUAAACUCCUUUCGACCGCGAGGAAGCCACCUGGUUGGAAGGGUGGUGACGGUAGUGGUAGAAGAAGCACCGGCUAACUACGUG
rnacentral:rRNA from 1 species